GACUGCUGUAGCGCAGUGGUAGUGCAUCUGCUUUGCAGGCAAAAGCUCUCAAGUUCAAUUCCUGGCCUCUCA